GACGAACGCUGGCGGCGUGCCUAACACAUGCAAGUCGAACGGGGUGUCGGGAGCUUGCUUCUGACACUUAGUGGCGAACGGGUGAGUAACGCGUGAGGAACCUGCCUUUCAGUGGGGGACAACAGUUGGAAACGACUGCUAAUACCGCAUAAUGUAUUCGAGCGGCAUCCCCGAAUAACCAAAGAUUUAUUGCUGAAAGAUGGUCUCGCGUCUGAUUAGCUAGUUGGUGAGGUAACGGCUCACCAAGGCGACGAUCAGUAGCCGGUCUGAGAGGAUGAACGGCCACAUUGGGACUGAGAUACGGCCCAGACUCCUACGGGAGGCAGCAGUGGGGAAUAUUGGGCAAUGGGGGAAACCCUGACCCAGCAACGCCGCGUGAAGGAAGAAGGCUUUCGGGUUGUAAACUUCUUUUACCAGGGACGAAGGACGUGACGGUACCUGGAGAAAAAGCAACGGCUAACUACGUG
rnacentral:rRNA from 1 species